UUGAAGAGGCAGUGACCGUGGUGGUGUAGGUGGAAGCAGCGGUGGAGGAAAAGGAGGUAGCCAACACUGUUUAUAUAUAUCUAUUUUUUACUUUAAUUGGGGUAGCCCCCAAAAUAUAAGUUGCACAGGCACUUUGUUGACUCUAGAGAACCUCGGGCCAAUUGCACAUCCCCGUGACGGCGACUUUGCAUUCGGAUGUCAUCCAUUUCAACUUUCGAUGCCAGUUUCUGCGCCUACCAUGGUGACCACGGGUAACGGGGAAUCAGGGUUUCAAUUCCA